ensembl:lncRNA
CAGACCUGUUGAUAUUGAGAUAAAAUUUUCAAAUCACAGAACAGGUUCGAAAAUAUUUCUACAUUUAUGGUCGGACUGACGUCAGAACAUCCCCUGAUCAGUUACUCAAACCAGUCUCUGCCAACAGUAUGUGACGGCGCCUCAAGCGGUAGGCGUACGUUUCAUUAAUAAGGAUCUAGGCGCGCGGUUAGACAGGCGAGCGUAUUUCGGUGGAUCAGAUGAGUAGACCGGGAGCCUUGCCCAGCCUCUUCAUGCUCAGAAAUGCAAUGGCCAUGCUGUCGCUGUAGACACCUUGAGCUCCAGUAGCUACACUCGUUUGAGACCAAGACGCAAAUUUAGCGGCUAAAUGAUUUGGCGGCAUCAUUUUUACUGUUCCAUGAUUUUAAUAUUGCAUGGGCUCUUCAAAUAUAUGCCUGCUGCUCUAAAAGGCCUCUCAAGGAUAAUCAGGUAGAGAGGCAUUGGUCGCCAGAGCAUGCCACAUCCCCUUAAGGUACCAUUUCACACGAGUUGGUUGCCAGAGCACGCCACAUCCCCAUAAGGUACCAUUUCACACGAGUUGGUUGCCAGAGCACGCCACAUCCCCAUAAGGUACCAUUUCACACGAGUUGGUUGCCAGAGCAUGCCACAUCCCCAUAAGGUACCAUUUCACACAAGUGCUUCACGUUGUGCUGUCUCUCACAGGCUGCGUCACAUGCCCAGCGUGGCUAGUGCUUCUGGUGCCCAGUGCUGUCGCAGGCCUUGAGAAGAUCGCCACAAACUGCUGCCAUGGUCCUUCCCGACAAGACCGUCAGGACCUCAGUCCCCAAGAAGGUGUCCAGGAAGCGGAAGCUGCGUCCCCAGGGCCUGCCCUCCCCGGCUCUGUGCUGCGCCUGCGGGCUCUGCAUCAUGUUGGCCGGCAUUAACAUCACCCUUGUGGGGGCCUUCGCGUUCGGCAAGUUCAUGCCCACCCAGAACCCGCCCAUCAUCAUCGGCCCCCUGUUGCUGCUGGUGGCGCUGUCUUUCUUCGCGGCGUGCUGCGUGUGCAGCCGGCGACCCCCGGCGCACUCGUCCCGGGGGAAAUCGGGCGCCGGCGGCGGCGACAGCUGGGGGCUGAUGCGCAUGGGCGGGGCGGCCUUUGAGAUGGAGACGAGCGAGCACACACUGCAGGACACCACCGCCGUGCAGCUCAGCCCCACCAACUCCCUCUGUUCCUCCCACAAGUCCAGCCCCACCCGCGAGACGCCCGCCAGUGACUUGCCCCGCCAGCUGCUCGCCACAGAGCUGAACAACUCGCCGAUGGUCGCCGACGGUCUGAUUGGAGAAGCCAACUGUCAGGAACAUGUAGCUGUUGAACAGGGUCCGGCACACGACGCCUCUGACACAUAGCGUGGUCACAGCGCAUGGGUGUCUUCACAUCCAGGAGAAUCACACUUUUUCUCAAGCAGUCUGGCUUGACCUAGAGUCUUUGGCAAAGUAAAAAGAACUGUGAUGGGCCUUUAAAAUAUCACAAAGGUUCAGAACAGGAGUCGUUUACGAGGGAAAGGUAUACAUAGCUAAAAAAAACAGGCAUGAAAUUACUUAUCACACUUGAUUUAGGCAGCAGAUUUCAAACAUCUUGGUAAAGGAGGGUGAGAAAAAAAUGGAAGCCUGUGAAAGCAAGAAAGUGUGUGACAGAGAGAUGACUGUGUUGCCUGAAUUAUCCUCAAACAUUUUCAAAUUGGCCUUAGUAACCCCCCUUUUCUGUUGUGCUGCUGACUGAAGAACUGGGACAUUUUCUUGUCUGUGAAUCAUUGGCUCACCAUGUCAACCUGACCCAACAGCGGGGCGGGGCGGGGCGGGAAUAGCCCCUCAGCAAUGAUUACUCGUGGACUUUUGAGACAGGAACAUCAUCUGAUACAAGCCCUUGGAAAUAGGAGGACAUUAUACAUUUUGUGAGAAAAACAAGGUUCCUCUGUGCCUCCUUAUUUGAUGCCAAGCAGUGGUGAAAUUGGACUGCUUUCAGAUGACACUGCUCAGGAGACCUGACAUUAUCUGUCUGUGUCACACAUAGAAGACACAGAGAAUGCAAGCAAAACAUGAUUCUGUGUGAACACAGAAUAUGACGUGAUGCUCACUGAAGGAAAGAUGGUAACUUAACUUUAUUUUGAAACAGGGAUGAUUGAAGAUAUUCACCCAAAAAAUUGAAAAAUAAAUGUUUCCUGUUUCCUUUUCUUGUGUUGUACUGCCUUGCUGUCGUGAGAGCAUUUUCUUCCUACUCUUUUGUUUGCCUUGUAUUUUAUUUAUUUAUUUAUACAUGUUUUAUACUUGUAUUGAGAGUGUGCUGGCUAAAUUUGUGAUUGUUUGAUGGUCAUAUACACUUCUAAUUCUAUUAUUGAUUAUGCAUUGAUUAAUAUCAAAAUGUCUUACAAAGCAUAACUGCUUAGAGCAUGCAAUGUCUAUGUAUGUGUUAAGUUCUUUGUUUCAAAACAGUUAAUAAAAACUCCAUGAGAAAGACAUACUGUGUUUUGGUGAUACAAGUCUAGCCUGCUGGGAUGGUGAGAGACACAUAAUGAUGAAAUCAUCUCUAGUCAUAUUGACAAGCGGUAAUGGCUGGAAAUUGUGUUAGGGACAAUCUUUUAAUUGAAUGAUGGCCUAAAUGACAUGAGUGAGAAUGAGACAGAGUAAUGAGAGCUCAGACGUUACCAUCCACACAAUGGAUAUUCCACG